UACGUAGGGGGCGAGCGUUGUCCGGAUUUAUUGGGCGUAAAGAGCUCGUAGGCGGCUUGGCAAGUCGGGUGUGAAACCUCCAGGCUCAACCUGGAGACGCCACUCGAUACUGCCAUGGCUAGAGUCCGGUAGGGGACCACGGAAUUCCUGGUGUAGCGGUGAAAUGCGCAGAUAUCAGGAGGAACACCAGUGGCGAAGGCGGUGCUCUGGGCCGGUACUGACGCUGAGGAGCGAAAGCGUGGGGAGCAAACAGG
rnacentral:rRNA from 1 species